GGGCCGGUAGCUCAGUGGUUAGAGCAGCGGACUCAUAAUCCGUCAGACGAAGGUUCGAAUCCUUCCCGGCCCA
rnacentral:tRNA from 1 species